GUCGAAAACUGCACAGUUAAGCCACAUGUUAACUUGUUUUUAACCAUUCCAUGUUGUUUGUAGGAAGGUUGCCUUGGCUGCCUCCUACGAUUACAUGAACAAUUUUCGGCGCGGAAUGCGUCAAGGAAAACGGACAUUAACGUAAGGCUAGCCCUCUUGCUGCUCUUUGGUUGUAUGGAGGGUGUUGCAUCGUUGAAAUAUUUGGUU
rnacentral:misc_RNA from 4 species